GAGGAUGUAGUUCAGUGGCAGAGCACAUGCCUAGCAUGCACAAGGUCCUGGGUUCAAGCCCCAGUACCUCCA
rnacentral:tRNA from 1 species